GGAUCCAGACUUUGAUCCUGGCUCACGACGAACGCUGGCGGCGUGCCUAACACAUGCAAGUCGAACGGGGCUAGGAAAGCUUGCUUUCCGAUGCCUAGUGGCGGACGGGUGAGUAACGCGCGAGUAACCUGCCUUUCAGAGGGGAAUAACGUUCUGAAAAGAACGCUAAUACCGCAUAACGUACAGUUACCGCAUGGUAGCAAUACCAAAGGAGCAAUCCGCUGAAAGAUGGACUCGCGUCCGAUUAGCUAGUUGGUGGGGUAAAGGCCUACCAAGGCGACGAUCGGUAGCCGGACUGAGAGGUUGAACGGCCACAUUGGGACUGAGACACGGCCCAGACUCCUACGGGAGGCAGCAGUGGGGGAUAUUGCACAAUGGGGGAAACCCUGAUGCAGCAACGCCGCGUGUGGGAAGAAGGUUUUCGGAUUGUAAACCACUGUUCUUGGUGAAGAUAAUGACGGUAACCAAGGAGAAAGCUCCGGCUAACUACGUGCCAGCAGCCGCGGUAAUACGUAGGGAGCAAGCGUUGUCCGGAUUUACUGGGUGUAAAGGGUGCGUAGGCGGCUAGGCAAGUCAGACGUGAAAACCAUGGGCUCAACCUGUGGGCUGCGUUUGAAACUGUUUAGCUUGAGUGAAGUAGAGGUAGGCGGAAUUCCCGGUGUAGCGGUGAAAUGCGUAGAGAUCGGGAGGAACACCAGUGGCGAAGGCGGCCUACUGGGCUUUAACUGACGCUGAGGCACGAAAGCAUGGGUAGCAAACAGGAUUAGAUACCCUGGUAGUCCAUGCCGUAAACGAUGAUUACUAGGUGUGGGGGGUCUGACCCCCUCCGUGCCGGAGUUAACACAAUAAGUAAUCCACCUGGGGAGUACGGCCGCAAGGUUGCAACUAAAAUGAAUUGACGG
rnacentral:rRNA from 1 species